rnacentral:tRNA from 1 species
GGGAGUGUGGCUCAAUUGGUUAGAGCAACGGACUUUUAAUCCGUGGGUUAUGAGUUCGAGUCUCAUCACUCUCA